AUAGAAUAUCCUGAACAACAACCUGGGAAGUUGUCAAUAUUAUGGGAUAAACUGUCAAAUUCCGGGGAAGCCCUAAAGCUUUUGAUACCAAAUCUGGUUGAAUUUUACCACGGUGGAUGAAUUAAUUACUCAUGUAUGGUAACAAGUCAAAAGAUUCUUGAAAAAGAAAUGGGUAAUCGCGGAUCUAAGUCAACAGUACUUAAUAAUACUGUUGUAAAAGAGCAACGAGUAGACGGCAGUUGCAUUGGACGAGUAACUCGUCCGAUGUUAAGGUAUACUCUAAGAGGUUUCGAAAGAAUAAC
rnacentral:ncRNA from 1 species